GCCCAAGUGGUGGAAUUGGUAGACACGCCAGCUUGAGGGGCUGGUGGUAGUAAUACUGUAGGAGUUCGAGUCUCCUCUUGGGCA
rnacentral:tRNA from 1 species